UCGCUGUGCUCCUUGGAGGGGGAAAAGAUGCGAUGGACGAGUUCGAUCGCAAGGCAUUUUAUAAAUGGGCGCGGAGGGAAGCAGUGGGUGGCGAGGUCUUGCGUGUUUGCCUCGGGCCCUCGAGU
rnacentral:SRP_RNA from 1 species